GGGCCAACUAGCAAGGACACCCGGGAACGCUCGAGAAGAGCCGACUAUGAAGGUCCCAGCGUGUGGGACGAUUCGCGGGCGGGCGCGGAUGUUGUCGCAGGCGUUUAGCGGUAUCAGCUCAGCGCCGAAGUUGCCGCGCCGAUGGGAACGUCCUGAUAGGAAAGCUCUGAGACGUGUGGGACUGAAAAAACGUUGAGGACCUUUGCACUGUGCCAGGGGCCUCCAAGGUUAUAGAGGAUGUGAUUUGUGUUCCGGGGGCUUGAGAACAGUGUAAAACAAUACGUAGGUCCAAGCCUAAGUCCAUAAGCUGUGCCUCGCUUUAUGACAUAGGUGGAUGCUAACCAAGAUCAUAUAGUUUUAAAGCUGGAACUGAAUUCAUUAUCUUCCCCAACUCCCACCCCGCUUCUUCGUUCAGUAAAUGCACCAGCAUCAGAGAAUGUGUUUGGACACUGAAAUCUGCCCAGAGCCUAUGGAAUAGAGGAGAAGAUCACUAAACCAGUGGCUUUCACGCUUCUGUUUCUGUGACCAGUGAGCGUGGCAAACCUUCCAGAGUAAUUGAAAUACAAAGAGAAGAGGUGUUGUCUGGAAGAAUAAGCCAUCUGACUGGAGAGAAGAGCAAAAGAGGAAAUCGUAGAAGGACCUCAUUGUCAUGAUAACAGUUGCUUCAGUUUUCCUCCAGGACUAAUGCACCGGGAUCAGACAGAUGAGAAUUCUCAGAAAUAGUCAGGUGAUCACCCAUCUGAAAGAGGAGACAUGCUACUUACCCCAAUGGAGCAGUGGUUUGUGCAGUGGGCCUCACUCAUGUAACUGAAGAUUCCCCAGUAGAGAAAAAGGACCAGGAGAAAAGGCCAUAUCACAAAAGGGGAGAUUUGGACACACGGGGAGACACCAGGGAUGUGUGCACAGAGGAACAACCAUGUGAAGGGGCAGCAAAGAGGUCACCUGCGAGCCAAGGAGAGAGAGACUUCAGAGGAAAGCAACUCUUCAGGCACCUUGAUCUUGGACUUCCUGUCUGGAACCAUUUGCGAAUGUUAUUAAAAAUUUAUCCGGGGACAACAUUAAAAAGAAAAUGAAAGCAACCACAUAAGCUCAACUCAGUGGCAGUUGGAAGUGGCCUUGUCUAUGAGCAGAACACUGUUGUAUCCCAAUGGACUGUGAGAAAGAGGUUACAGACCAUGACCAGCACACCUUUUUUCUCUCUCACAAAAGAAGUAUGCAACCUCUCCGCCGCAUUUGGCCCGUUGGGACAACACUCGGGGUUGACACAGCUUUCUGCCUCGGCUUCCGUGGAUGUGCGGGAUCCAGGAGGCCGAGACCUCCUCCUGCCUCUCCAGGAUUCAUUGCCCUGCUCCGGGUCCUCUCUACAAGGAUCGAUGCUGGAACCCUGGUCUUCCUGCCCCUGGGGCUGAGUGGGUCUGUCAUAGAAGAUGAGGACUCCAGUGUGGAGGGGAGCAAACCUCAUUCAAAAUGUGCAUGUUUCAAUUCAUGCAGAGAAGAGGCCUCAGUCAGAGGGUCUCCACCAGAACAGCUCCUCUCCCGAAGCGCGCUGGCGUCUCAAGGAGCCGAUAGCAACUUCCGGACUCCGCUGAUUCAGCCCUGGCCCGCCUGCUCCUGGAGGAUGCUUGAUCAUGUCAGCUUCCUGGCUUUAGCCUACCACACUUGUGUCUAUUCCUGUACCCUCUCUUACGGAAUUUCUUCCCAUCCAAACUGAGCAGUCGGGGAAGGAAGUCAAGCAGUCUCUGCUGUAAAACCCUGAAGCAUCCCGAGCUCUCCCAGACUCAGUGACCCCUCCUGCUAACAGAAAGACGGAUGCCAAAGCGCUGGCCCAGGAUCUUUUCCUGAAAUACAGCCCUGCUUUCUAAUUCUGCAUCUCUGCUCAAUUCUGCACAGAGAACAAAGGGAUUUUUAUGGAGGCAGACACACCCCACAUUCCUAGUUUACAGAAUUUAUUUUUAACCAGAACUGCAUUUAGAAAUAUGUGAGCAAUCAUACUAGUAAUAAUAGACGGAAGAGGAGAAGUACGUGUGGAUUCAUCUUCCUGGGUAUGUGUGGCUCCAGUUAAUAUUUAAAAUGGUCUCAAGUUCUCGGAACACACACUGACUGUCUGAUGGGGGAGGCGGUGAGGAGAGAGACAGGUAGGAGUGGGAAAGCUGACCUAGGAUUAAAAAUUAAUUGUGCUCAAUUUUUAAAUGAAAUCGUUGUAGCCAGAUGGCUAUGAAUUUUAAUAUGAUUUUGUAUUUAACUUUUUUUUUUUGAGGAGAUUUAAACUCUAUUAUUCAUCAACUAGGCAAUUUAUGAACUCACAUUUCGGCUUUAAUUCUACCUCAUCACAAGGAGAAUUACAGGGCUGGAAAAACCACCAAUCAUCCUCUGUUGGAAAGAACCACACCCAAAGCCAACCAGGGCAACAGGGAUCCCUAACACAUUUUUUAAGACUUCUAAUUUAAGGUAUUCCACGGCCAGUCUCCCUUGGGAGCCAAUUCUGGUGUUCCAGUCUUCCAUUCAGUCAGCCCCUGCUGUGCUUCCUCUUUCUCUGCUUCAUGGGACUGGGGAGACAGAGGAACCAUCCCCAUCCCAGGCUCCUUCGGGGGCCCGCAGGCCUGUUCCACGGACUGUGAAGUGCAUCAGGCCACAGCCCUGGGCCAGAUGGGGAGAAUGGUAAAUAGGGAGGGCCCUUCCCACUUUGGGUAUAGGAACUAACCUGAUUUCAGAGGCUGGUCCCACAAGGGUGUUUGGUCUAUGUCAGGGCCCAAAGAGAAAAGAAAGACUGGGCAAGGAGUGGUACUACAGGGUCCUCAUUGGAUGGUGUUGGAGGACAUGCAGCCACAGUAAUGCAAGGAUUGUCUCCAGUAGGGAUGUGGUCCUGGAAGAGCUGAGCAUUCAUAAAGGGUAUCAGCAAAUGGAUGAGGGCACAGAGAGGAGUAUGCUUUCUUUUGGGGAAAGAAAUCAGCAAGAAGAAGGCCAGGCAUCAGGACCCUGCGUCAGUAAGCUGGAGGGCAGAAUAAUUAUCAAGUUCUAGAGGGGGGGGCGCCUGGGUGGCUCAGUCGGUUAAGCGUCUGCCUUCGGCUCGGGUCAUGAUCUCAGGGUCUUGGGAUUGAGUCCCUCAUCGGGCUCCCUGCUCACCAGGGAGUCUGCUUCUCCCUCUCCCUCUGUCUCUUCCCCCUGCUCGUGCUCUCUCUCUCAAAUAAAUAAAUAAAAUCUUAAAAAAAAAAAAGUUCUAGAGGGAAGGUGGGAUCCGUUCUGGCCAUUAUGGAUGCAACUCUUCUCAUCAUGCCCACUCUCUCUGGACACCUUAUUAUAUCUGGAGUCGGUAACCAUUUUGAUGACUUCCUAUUUUAGAUCUCCAGCCUCUGCCCCUUUCCUGGACUCCAGACCUUCAUAUCCAGCUGCCCACUGGACCCAUACACUUAACAUGUCCAAAGAAACUCAACAGCUCUCCCCAACCCAUUCCUCUUCCUAUGUUCUUUGUCCCAAGGAAAGCACUUAUUCUCAACUCCUCCUUCUUCUCACCCACCAUAUUUAGUCUCUUGUCAAAUCCAGUUGCAUGUGCCUUCUGAAUAGCUCCUUAUUUUCUCCCCUCAUCUUCACUGCUAAAAUCUUAAUUCUGGUCACCAUCAGCUCUUGCUAGAAUUUUCACUGCAGCCUCUUAUGUGCUCUGCCUGCCUCUAGACGUGCAUGUCCUUUGCCCAUCCUUCCUCCUAAAUGCAACUUUGAUUCUCUCUUCUGCUUAAAAUCCUUCACCUGGUGCCCAUUGUCCCCGGGAUAAAGUGCAAAACCUGUUAAUGUGACUGAAAGGCUCAUGACCUGCCCCGCUUGCUGCCCGUCAUCACCUUGUGCCCCUUCUGCCACAUCAUCCCACAGCUGUACUGAGCUUCUGGCAGGUCCCUGAGGAAGCCCUGAUUUCUCUGGACUCCACAGCUGUGUACAUGAAGUUCUCCCUUUCUUCAUCUGAGUAACUUUUGAUCAUCUUUUGGGACUCAAUUCAAAGUAUCAUCUUCUCGGGAUGCCUGGGUGGCUCAGUCAGUUAAGUGGCUGCCUUUGGCUCAGGUCAUGGUCCCAGGGUCCUGGGAUCGAGCCCCACAUCGGGCUUCCUGCUCAGUGGGAAGCCUGCUUCUCCCUUUCCCACUCCCCCUGCUUGUGUUCCCUCUCUUGCUGUCUCUCUCUGUCAAAUAAAUAAAAUCUUAAAAAAAAAAAAGUACCAUCUUCUUGAGAAUCCCUUCUCUGGGUAAGUGCUUCUCCACCUGCUUCCACAGCCUCUGUCCUCCUGUUCGUCUCCUGUGUGGAUCUUCCUGACCAGACUUGUGAACACCUCCAGGCAGAAACCAGGUCUUUUUCACUGAGGAGCAAUGCAGCAAUGGGGAGACUGUGGGCCUUGAAGUCAGCCAGACCUGUGUUUGAAAACCAAACCUGAAGUAAGACACCCUAGACAAGAUUUUUAUCAUCUCGAGAUCUCUGUGUCACUAUAGCUGUAAUCCUCAUAAGCUGUUGUGACACAGCAUAAACAUGGUAAAUUUACAAAGUACUUCGCAUUGAGCCUGAUACAUCGUAGGUGCUCAGUAAAUGUUGGGUGAAGGGAAUGCAGAAAGAGAAGCUCCAAAUAGGUUUAUGGGCUCGUGGUCACAUGUCAGAGAGGCUGAUGUGGGUCCCUGUGACCUUGGCCAUCUAGGCAGAGAGAUGGCAGGACCGGAUGGAAUUAAGGUCAGACUCAUCUAGAGGGGAAAAGCUAACUGAGCUGAUGGAGAGCAAGACAAGGAAGACCGACAGCGAACACAGGAGGUCUCCGUGAGAUUGCCUGCGGCAUUUGACAGUGACAGGGCCAUUGUGGAAGGCCUGGCUCAAAGGGUCACACUUGCCAAGUGCCGUAAGCUGACAUUGGACAGUAGGAAGCACAUUCUCACCCUCGCUCUGGAGCUUUGAAAACACACUUGGCUGGUCCCCGACUCCGGGUGUUUGGUUUCAAGUACUCAAGUAGACCCAGGACUGGGCAUCUUUAAAAGCUCUUCAGAAAAUGCAGUUGUAGGGGCACCUGCCUGGCUCAGUCAGUGGAGCGUGUGACUCUUGAUCUCAGAGUUGUGAGCUGGAGCCCCACACUGGGUGUAGAGAUUACUUUAAAAAAUAAAAUCUUCAAAAAGAAAAAGGAAAAGGAAAAGAAAAUCCAGAUGUAGGCAGGGCUGAGAAUCACUACUUUUUUUAUUUUUUAAAGAUUUUAUUUAUUUGACAGAGAGAGAGACAGCGAGAGAGGGAACACAAGCAGGGGGAGUGGGAGAGGGAGAAGCAGGCUUCCCACAGAGCAGGGAGCCCCAUGCGGGGCUCGAUCCCAGGACCCCGGGAUCAUGACCUGAGCCGAAGGCAGAUGCCCAACAACUGAGCCACCCAGGCGCCCUGAGAAUCACUACUUUAAAGUGAAGGCAGCCCAGUCCAGGGAGGGGAGGAAAUACCACACCUCACAGAGCAGUAGGGACUAAGUUUGCCCCUACACCCCCAGAGUGUCCCCUGGGCAUAACUGAAGGAAUAUAUGGUGGGGACUGGCUGCUACUUUCUUACCUGCCCUGGUUGGGACUAGCUUCGCAUUAGAGCUGGCCCGUCCACAGACCAAGUGGCAGGGAACAGGGAGAGACAAGGGUAGGGAAAAUGAAGCUAAUGGACACACUCGUCCUGAUCUCAAAACUCCAUCCUGCCUCUCCAGCCCCUCCCCUAAGGAAACCAGGUGCUCUUUGGGAGGAAGAAGGUCCUUUGGGAGGUGAUGGGGUGGAGCACCUUGCUUUCCUUCAUAUCCCCUCCAAGAGCAGAGGGGGAAGCCAGUGGGGAGCUGCUUUUCACUUCUCCUUGGGGAACAGCUCAGAGAUGACAGCGUAGAGCUGAUGGUCAUUCUAAGAAUGUAAGGAAUUUUUUGGAUAAGAAAUGAAUUCCCAGCCAGCUGUAGCAGACUCUUAGUUUGAAGAUGUCAUAACCAAGAAUGAGAAAAAAAAUUUUUUUUAAUGAGGGAGUAACUCAUUAAAAAAUUAGAGUCAGCUGACAUUUAUUUGAAAAAUGCCUAGUUCUCUACUCUGUGAAUUUCCACAAUUUAUAUAUAAAAGGUAAUCAGGAUGAUGAUACCCAUUACAGUUCACAAGAAAUAGCCCCACCAAUAAGAGGCAUCAUGAAGAGACUUCUAGUAAAAGCUGUCCUUUAUUUUAUCACCCUGGUCCUCCCAAGACCCUACAAAUAUCUGAUCAUGCCAACCUGAUCAAAAGUCAUCGAUCAAGGGUUGCAUGCAAUGCUUUGCAUGCAAAAGUCAUGGAUCACUGCUUGCAUGUAAUGCAAACAGCCUCUUUGUCAGCCUCUGCCUGGGAAAAAUAAAAAGAGAGGGCCAUGAAUCACUAAGAAGUAAAAACGAAAUCUCCUCCCCUGGACUUUCAAUACAGAGGCAUAGCCCAGGAGAGGAAAGCAAAUGAAAUUAAAAAAACCCCAAAGGAUGAGAGGAUAACCUGUUACUAACCUUGAUGUGUCCCCACCCCCCCUAGCCCCACCCCACCUCCAACACCUUCAUACACCUAUAUACACCUUUUGCCACCUUACUGUAAACUCAGUGCAGUACAAAACUACAGCUUUUGUGCCCACAAAAUACUCCCUACCCACCCCCACCCCCCAAAAGCAGGAAAUUUUGUAAAGUGGUUCACGAUCCUAGAAGGUACCUAAUUGUAGAGAGACUUGAAAAUAAAGGGUCUCCCGUUCCCUGUGGGCAGGGACUCAACACAGACUAUCUUAGUUCAAUCAUCUCUUCCUUUUUGGAAAUUAACAGCUCAAGUCUCUAUUGAUUUAACAUGCUGUCCCUGUGAUGCAGUGGGGAUUUCACACAAGUAACGAGGACAGGCUGUUCUGUGAUUAUUUAACCCUUCCGGUCCUUUGUUUUUGUAAUUUUCUCUAAAAUGAAACAACUCAAAUAUGUGAAUCUAUUAGAGGGAACAAGACCAACUCUUGUGGUUCCUCUUGUACUUUAAAUAUAUAUAUUAUUGAAAUGUAUUGUAGCAGUAAGAAAAUUUCAGUCUGUAUCUCUGCAAUGUACUCUGAACCCCAGAUAGUCCUGUAAAGGAGCAGGCUCCAUAAUACAGUAGGACAUUAAGCAAGAGACAGGACAGGGAAUGAGAGGGGGGGCAGUGCACAUGCUCCUUAAUUUUCUUUCCUAGGUCUCUGCCUCUUUGCCUUUGAGUAGUCUGGGGCUGUGCUUGCUUGUGAUGAUAUCAGCUUGCUGAAGGUAAAAUUACGAUGGUAGACUAAAUCAGGCCCCUACACUUCAGUGUAGGGAGAAGGAGGAUGAGGGACGAAAAGAAGCUGGAGCUGCUGUUUAAAGUACCGUAGAGUAAUUGUCAGGAUCGAUCAAUUACUUUAUACAAAAUUGAAUUUGUCAGGGAGGAUUCUUCCCUUUGCGGAAGGAAGAAGCAAAGUCCUUUAUUCCUCAUGAUUUCAAGGACAAGGAAGGUGUUCUAAAUUAGGGGAAGGGGGGAAUAAAAAGAGAAGCCUUGGGGCGCCUGGGUGGCUCAGUUGGUUAAGCGACUGCCUUCGGCUCAGGUCAUGAUCCUGGAGUCCCGGGAUCGAGUCCCGCAUCGGGCUCCCUGCUCGGCGGGGAGCCUGCUUCUCCCUCUGACCCUCCUCCCUCUCAUGCUCUCUGUCUCUCAUUCUCUCUCUCUCAAAUAAAUAAAUUUAAAAAAAAAAUCUUAAAAAAAAAAAAAAAAAAAGAAGCCUUGUUACCCAGGCCACUUAACAGAUGUCCAGUGGGCACCUGCUAUGUGCAAAGACCUGAGCCGGGCCAAGGAAAAGCCCCACCUCUGCCAUGAACUUGGGAGUUGCAUGGGUGGAGAGGUCACCAUGGCAUCCUGGCUUGUGCCAGACAGUGUCACAGUCUCACACACUAUUAUAAGUUAAUCACAUUUGUCUCUGGACUCCUCCUCCCCAUCCUUACCUUGUCGGGGGUCAUCCUGGUGUGGUCAGCACAUUUUGCUCCCGGGGCUCCCGGCCUCACCCAUUCCCUUUCAUUUCCCCCUUCCUGAGCUCAUCUGUCUUAGCUCCUUCUGUAAGUUAGACUCCGAGCAGGGCAGGAGAAAGAGCACCUUGUUCUGUCCUUCCUGGGUGAAUUUUGGCAAGUCAUUUCAUUUCUUUGCAUCUCAACUUUUUCUGUUAAUCAGGAGAAUAGUAACGCUUGGCUUGUAUUGUGAGGAUUCGGUGAAUGAUGAAAGUGAAAUUAACUACAGCAGAUUUUCAUAGAGAAUGUCACACGUGGCAGGCACUGUGCUGAAUGCUCUCCGUACUAUAUCCCAUGUCAUCCUUCCAAAGGCCGGUAACGCAGGCAGGCGUUCUCCUGGUCAUGUACAGGUGGAGAAACUUGAGGCUUAGAGAUUAAGUAAUUUGCCCCCAAGUCAUUGCUAGUUUAUUGGAAGUGUCCAGUAGUCUUACUCUAAGGUCCAUGCUGUUGACCACGGUGCCCACUGCCUCUAUAAAUGCCCCUGUGGGAUGCUAGGUCAGCAGGAGAUCAUUUUAUUAGAUACAGCUAACACACAGUACCGUUUGUUAUUAGACAGAUUUGAAGGUACCAAAGAUCAUAUCAUUUACAUAGAAAGAAUGCAGAGCGAUUAACUUACAUAGAACCACAGGCUUUAGAGGUGAAAGGGUUCUUUGAGAUGAUCCAGGCUUAUGGUUUACAAACUCCGCUUCUCAGAAGCCCUAUACCAAGCUCUGCUUUUAUCUCUUUUAAAAUUUAUUAUUAUUUCUAGGCAGCAUUUUGUCUGAAGAAUAAUUCUAGGGCUUACUCUUUUCUAAUUCACUAUCAUUUUGGGGGGAGCAUUUUCCUGAAGCCAUAAGAGAUAGACAGACUAAGGUUUCCUGACAUCUGGUCCAGGUCUCUCUUCACUCCUCAGUCCUGUCUCUUGACACAAUGUGUCCAAUGUAGUAAAGAUUUGAUAAUAUUAAAAAUGAAUAAUCAAGAGAGGCUUCUUCAAAGAAAUAUCUCAGGAAGCCACAUAGGCCUGGAUGAUCUAAGCAAAGGCAUGGUAACCAGUAAAAAGUAAUGAGGCAUGGUAACAAAUAAUUUUAAAAGAUUUGGAGAGGGGCUUGGAAAUACUGUCAGUGAUGACUAUUAUGAGGUUGUCUCCUGUGGGAGUAAGCAGAGAAAUACCAUCCUAUGAGGCCCUUAAGUUCAAGGAUUUAUUCAUUCAGCCAUCAAUUAUAAAACAUCUACUCUAUACCAGGCGCUGUACUAGGCAGAGGGACCACAAAGAUGAAAAGACAGUGUCCCUGCACUUAAGAGGCUGACUUACUGAGUAGGGGGUGACAUGGCAGAGGCAUUGGUGUGAUGAAAGCAGUGACAGAGAUUUACAGAGAGUCCUGGGGAUACUUGGAGAAUGGACAUCUUAUCCUGGCCCCGGUCGGGAGAGGGUGGUAGUCAGGUAACCUUCCUGGAAGAUAUAACAUCUGAGAAGAAUUCAAAUUCAAGGAGAUUGACAUAAGAGGACAGUGUUCUAGCCUUGGAUAGAAUUGAAUUUGGUUUCUUUCUACUUUGCUGAUGAAGCAGAGAUGGGCCAUCCAGCAGGGCCACAAACCGAUCACCCCAAACCACACCGCCGCAGGGGUGUUGCUAACCAGAAGGUCUGCUUUCAAGUACUGUCAAUAGUUUCCUAAGAUGAUUUCUUCUCAUAGAGAUGAAAACAGCUAUUCUCAGAAUCAGAGCCAGGUGGCAUGUUCCUCAAGUAAUUACUUAGAUCUCACCUCCUGUGUGUGAUUUCUUUUUUUUUUUUAAGAUUUUAUUUAUUUAUUUGAGACAGAGAAUGAGAGAGACAGAGAGCACAUGAGAGGGAGGAGGGUCAGAGGGAGAAGCAGACUCCCUGCCGAGCAGGGAGCCCGAUGUGGGACUCGAUCCAGGGACUCCAGGAUCAUGACCUGAGCCGAAGGCAGUCGCUUAACCAACUGAGCCACCCAGGCGCCCUAAAGAUUUUAUUUAUUUAUUUGAGAGAGAGAGAAUGAGAGAGAGAGCACAUGAGAGGGGGGAGGGUCAGAGGGAGAAGCAGACUCCCCGCCGAGCAAGGAGCCCGAUGCGGGACUCGAUCCCGGGACUCCGGGAUCAUGACCUGAGCCGAAGGCAGUCGCUUAACCAACUGAGCCACCCAGGCGCCCCUGUGUGUGAUUUCUAAAUAGGUGUAUGCUAUGGGAGCCACACUGCAGAGCUAGCAGAUGCUCCACAAAAAAUACAAAAAUGAACUGUAUUACUUGUAGGAGGCUAACUUGCUGGAACAAAUGGACGCAGAGAUACAAUGGCUGAAAUCCAGCAAAAUUUAUCACUCAUGACACAUGGCAAAUAGUCCAAGACAUCAACAGCUUUCUUCUACCUGAGAAAUCAUGCCCCACGCUCCUUCCUCUGAGAUGCCGCUUCCUUGGGACCUCUGUCUUGAAGCACCUGGGUGGCUCAGUUGGUUGAACAUCCAACUUUUGAUUUUUUUGUUGUUUGUUUGUUUGUUUUAAGAUUUUAUUUAUUUAUUUGAGAGAGAGAAUGAGAGACAGAGAGCAUGAGAGGGAGGAGGGUCAGAGGGAGAAGCAGACUCCCUGCUGAGCAGGGAGCCCAAUGCGGGACUCGAUCCCGGGACUCCAGGAUCAUGACCUGAGCCGAAGGCAGUCGCCCAACCAACCGAGACACCCAGGCGCCCCGAACAUCCAACUUUUGAUUUCGGCUCAGGUCUUGAUCUCAGGGUUGUGAGAUGGAGCCCCUCAUCGGGCUCCACGCUCAGCGCGGAGUCUGCUUUUCUCUUUCUCUCUCUCUCUCCCCCCUCUCCCUUUUCCUUUGCCCCUCCUCCUGGUUGUAUUCUCUCUCUCUCAAUUAAUUAAUUAAUCUUAGGGCAUCUGUCUCUCUGUGUCCAAUUAGAGGAAGGGGAAAAUAAGUGUGAACACUUUCUUAAAGAGCUACACCCAGGGGGCCGCCUGGGUGGCUCAGUCGGUUAAGCAUCAGCCUUCGGCUCAGGUCGUGAUCCCGGGGUCCCGAGAUCGAGUCCCGCAUCGGGCUCCCUGCUCAGCGGGGAGUCUGCUUCUCCCUCUCCCUCUGCUUGCUACUCCCCCUGCUGUGCUCUCUUACUUUCUGUCAAAUAAAUAAAUAAAUAAAUAAAUGAGUAAAUAUCUUUAAAAAAACAAAGAGCUACAUCCAGGCCUGGCACGUAUGGGUUCCCUUCAUGUUUUAUUGGCAGAGAUUUGUCACGUGGUCACAUAUGACUUCUGGGGCUGGUGGGAAAUGUAGUUCCAGGCUGAGCAGCUGCUCCAGCCACAACUCUGUUGAUUCAGAUGAGGAAGAUUCAGGUGGACGGCUACUGUCUUCAUCACAUAGAUGGAAAGAAAGAAAAUGGACCAUCACAAAAAAUGUAAGAAUGUUACUAAUAAGAGUGCCUCUGGGGCCCCUGGGUGGCUCAGUCAGUUAAGUGUCAUGAUUCCAGGGUCCUGGGAUCGAGUCCCACUUCUGCCUCUCCGUGAUCUCUCUCGCAUUCCCACUCUCUCUCUAAUAAAUAAGUAAAUAAAAUCUUAAAAAAAAAAAAAAAAAGAGUGCCUCCAGCUCCAGAACAUUUUAUAAUUACUUGCUAGGUAAGGUCAAUACCUGACCACAUGUACCCUUAAACAUUUCAGAUAGAAGCCUGUUCAUAAAUGGAAAACAUGGGACCAUGAUCAGGUGAUUAUAUGUUGCUGGUUUAUCAAAACCUUGAUUAAUUUUUAAAAAAUAUUUAAGAAAUCUGACAACUAGGUAAGUAAUAUUAACAACAGUAAAUCAUGGGAAGGUGUCAGAAUUUUUCAAUCAGAGCAAUUUUUUUCACACCAGCAAAUUUUUUUCAAUGUCUUUCCUGUGCUAAAUACUUUGGGGUUAUAUAAAAAAAAGAUACUGUCGGGCUGCCUGGGUGGCUCAAUCAUUUUGGGUGUCUGACUCUUGGUUUUGGCUCAGGUCAUGCUCUCCGGGUGGUGGGAUCGAGCCCUGUGUCAGGCUCCACAUUCCAUGGGGAGUCUGCUUGAAGAUCCUCUCUCCUUCUCCCUCUGCCCCUCUCCCCUACACUCUCUCUCUAAAAUAAGUAAAUAGCCCCUCUCCCCUAUACUCUCUCUCUAAAAUAAAUAAAUAAAUCUUUAAAAAAAAAGAUGCUGUUCUUUAAAAUUGUAUGUAUGUAUAUAUGCAAUUAGGAGUUAAAUAGAAGUGAUGCAACACAACGAUACUGUUGACUGCCAAAUGGAUUACACAGAAAAAAGGUAGGUAUGGUCAGAAGGCAUAGAGAAAGCCGGAUUCGAGCCAAGUCUUAAAGUGUGGGCGAAGUGUUGAUAGGCAUAAUGGCUGGGAAGACAUUACAUGCACGAAAGGUCCUGAAGCAAAAGAGAAUGAAACGUAUGUGAGGGACAGAGGGGAGAUCGUCAUGAAUGAAGAAAUGGUUAACAGCGAUUCAUUAUGGUGGUGACUGUCCAUGAGCAGGGUGAAGUGGGAAAAAUAGGGAGUUAACCUUCUGCUCCCUAGGUGGAAAUGAGGAAUGAGGUGGAAGUAGGGUGUAGCUUAAAAAGCUCCUUAAGUUAGGCUGGCACACCUCUUUACUGAAACAUUUUGAAAUACCAUUUAAAUAGGUUAAUGGUUAAAUAGGUUAAUUUGGGGGCACCUGGCUGACUCAGUUAGUAGAAAAUGGGACUCUGCAUCUCAGAGUUGUGAGUUCAAGCCCCACAUUGUGCGUGGAGAGAGAGAGAAAGAGAGAGAGAGAUAGACAGAUAGAUAAAAUUUGCUUAUUGAAAAUAUUUGGGGCGCCUGGGUGACUCAAUUGGUUAAGCGUCUGCCUUCGGCUCAAGUUAUGAUCCCAGGGUCCUGGGAUCGAGCCCCACAUCAGGCUCCCUACUCAGCAGAGGUCUGCUUCUCCUUCUCCCUCUGCCCCUGCUCCUGUGCUCUCUCUCUCACUCACUCUCUCUCUUUCAAAUAAAUACAUAAUCUUUAAACAUUUUUUUUUUAAAUGAAAGAAAAGAGGGGCACGUGGGUGGCUCAGUCGUUAAGCAUCUGCCUUCGGCUCAGGUCAUGAUCCCAGGGUCCUGGCAUCGAGCCCCACAUCAGGCUCCCUGCUCCACGGGAAGCCUGCUUCUCCCUCUCCCACUCCCCCUGCUUGUGUUCCCUCUCUGUGUCUCUCUCUGUCAAAUAAAUAAAUAAAAUCUUAAAAAAAAAAAAAAGAAGAAAAUAUUUGACUUCUUUUUUUCAAGUCUGGAGUAGGCUUUAAAUUUAAAGCACUUGGGGCGCCUGGGUGGCUCAGUUGGUUGGGCGACUGCCUUCGGCUCAGGUCAUGGUCCUGGAGUCCUGGGAUUGAGUCCCGCAUCGGGCUCCCUGCUCAGCAGGGAGUCUGCUUCUCCCUCUGACCCUCCCCCCUCUCAUGCUCUCUCUCUCUCUCUCUCAUUCUCUCUCUCAAAUAAAUAAAUAAAAUCUUUAAAAAUAAAUAAAUAAAAAAUAAAUUUUAGGGCGCCUGGGUGGCUCAGUCGUUAAGCGUCUGCCUUCGGCUCAGGUCAUGAUCCCAGGGUCCUGGGAUCGAGUCCCACAUCGGGCUCCCUGCUCCGCGGGAGGCCUGCUUCUCCCUCUCCCACUCCCCCUGCUUGUGUUCCCUCUCUCGCUAUCUCUCUCUCUGUCAAAUAAAUAAAUAAAAUCUUAAAAAAAAAAAAUUAAAUAAAUAAAUAAAUAAAUAAUAAAUUUUAAAGCACUUGAAAAAUAUUUCAGGCUAACAUUAAGAUUCUACUUAGCAUGAUGGUGAUUGGUACGAUUCACUUAAUAAGUAGCCCAUAGAUGAUUGAAUUGAUAAACUGCUUGGUAAACACCUUAAGGUAGGUUUGCAGAAUAACUGCAGGGUAUGCAGAAUUCUAAAUUUUUUAAAUCAAUUUAUGUAUUUAUUUAUUUAUUUAGAGAGAAUGAGAGCAUGAGCCAGGGGCAGGGCAGAGGGAGAGGGAGAGAGAGCUUCCCAGGCAGAUUCUGCACUGAGCGCCAAGCCAGACGCAGGGCUUAAUCUUACAACCCUGAGUUCAUGACCUGAACUGAAAUCAAGAGUCAGACGCUUAACCAGCUGAGCCAACCAGGCACCCUAGGGUAAGCAGAAUUCUAAAGAUAGCCCCCAAGAUUCCUGUCCACUGGUUAUUCAAUCAAAACUAAUCUAGUAAUGCCGCGAAGAGAUUUUGAAAAUAUAAUUACAGUCCCAAGUUAGUUGACCUGAAGAUACAGAUAGCCCUUUCAAGCUGAGCUUUUUCUCUGGCCAGUAGCAGAAGAGGAAGUCAGAGAGACUAAAAGUGAGGGGCUCCACGUGCCAUUGCUGACUUUGAAGAUGGAGACCAUGUGAGGAGUGCGGGUAGCUUCUAGAAGCAGAUAGUGGCCCCUAAAUGACAACCAGCAAAAAAAUGGGGACCUCAGUCAUAAGAUACCAAAUUCUACCAAUAACCUAAAUGAAGUUGUAAGCAGAUUCUUUCUGAGAGCCUCCAGAAAAGAGCCCAGUCUAGCCAACACUUUGAUUUUGACCUUGUGAGACUCAGCAGAGAGCCCAGUUGAGCUGCCCAGACUUCUGACCUACAGAACUAUGAGCUAAUAAAUGAAUGUUGUUUUGAACUGCUAUGUUCAUGGUGAUUUGUUACAUAGCAAUAGAAAACCAAUAUAAAUGGAUACCUGAAUUCAAUUUAAGCAGAGGUGGUGUACUUCAAGACUCCGUUCUAAUCCUCUGUGAAAACUCCUGAUCCUCCCCAGAGUGAUCUUUUUCUCUCUCUAAUCCUAAAGGACUACAUUUUUAUCAUUCUGGAGUUAGAUCUCACAUAUUGCCUGGCACUUUGUGUACCCGACCUUCCUUUUGCCCCUAGGUGGUAAGCUCCAUGAUGGAAAGAAUCAGCUCUUUACAGUUUCUCCUUCUAAAAGUCUGGGAACGUCAGAAGAGGUGGUGGGCAAGCCAGGUUUUUAAGAAUUUUCUGUCCACAAAAGCAAACUAAAUAUUCUUGAGAGGGAGCAAAUGGCUCUCGUUUUCUCUUGGUAAAUAAGACUGAGACAACAUUCAGUUGCUAAGAUCAAGGUUACCGAUCUCCUGUGAGUGCCAGCCUGACUGGGGUGCUAUCACUCCAUAAUGGGCAAACCAGAAUGACUGGUCUGACUCAGAAAGGUAUCAUUGAGACCCUUCCAGUUAUGAGUCUGUUUUAUUCUUAGUGCCAGUUAGAACUCCAC